GUAAAGAAGAGAGAGAGAAGAAAGAAGAAACGAAAAAGAAGAAGAAGAAGAAAGAAGAAGGGAAACUGACCAUAGAGUUUCACAGCAGCCAGGUCUUGGUAUUUUAAACUCAGAUUGAUGAUCAGCUCACCGGGAUCUUCGAUUUGAGGAUUUGGAAGGAGUAUUGGUGAAGAUCUAGAGUUUUGAGAGUUCUUGAGCUAAAGAAGUGAAAUUUGGGAUUUCAUUGGUGUUCUUGAGAAAGGGGUUACACUCAUUAUACGCGUACCCACACAUUAGAUCUCUUACGUACCGGGUGCAGGCACUAUGUACUUAUACAAGUAAGUGGGGAGUGGACUUUGAUUUAAUUUUAGAAUGUUUAUGCAUCAGUUAACAUGUGUUAGUCUUGCCAUGUCAUCAUGUCACUUGUGUGUAGACUAGACAUCAUGUAUGCCAUAUCAUGCAUUUAAUGUGCAUUUACAUAAUAUGCUAUGCUCUGUGUUAUGUUUGAAUAUUCAUUAUGUCUUGAUGUAUGUGAUAGAGGAAUCUCAUUUGGACAUGAUAUGCAUGCUAGAUUAGAUGCCAUAGUCGGCUUGAAAAUAAGUGCAUGGUGGCUCGUGGAAUGAGACGCGGUGCCAUCGUGUAAUCGUACUAUACUUAUAUAGAGGUAUACGGUUAGGAUUGAUAUACCCCUUUAUGCUACGACCCUUCCCAACAGGGGUUUAUGUGUUGGGUUACCAUUGGGGGGAAGCAUUGGGUUACGUUGUUGAACUCUUGCAGAGGUUAGAAGUACGCACGGCUGAUCGCUAGGAUAGUUAGCAACCCCGGUGGUAUAUUCAGAGUGCCGAUUGUACUGCUUUUAUUUUAGAUGGAGUCACCCAUUUACUUUCUGUCAUUUAAAUUUUCCAGGAGUCAGCUUGCAUUUUAAAUUUUGGUACAAAUGGUGGGCCUUCUCCUACAACCCUAUGGGCAUAUCGCUGGAUGGGGUCCACGGCUCGUACCUAGGGCUUACGCGUACUGUGGUUGUGAGUAGCACAUAGCCUAUGACCUAGUAAUGUUGUUUAGGUGAUAGGAUUAAAAUGAAUUGCAUACAUAUAGGUGCAUUUGUAUUGUGACUGCCUAUGUGGUCUUCCUUUCCACUUACUGGGUUAGUGAGCUCAUCCCACAUGCAGAACUCUUUUAGUGAUUUUGCAGGUUACCUGCCUGAAGAUUAAGAGCCGGGUCCCACUGUGGAGUUUUUCUUUGAUGAUUAGUGGGUCCUUAUGGAGUUUGAACACGGUACUGAUUACACGUGUGAGGAUUGUGCUGCAUGGCAGACUUUGAUGUUAUACUAGGCAUGGAUUGGUUAUCAGCACAUCAAGCAAGCGUGAUGUGUGCCAAGAAACAGAUCAAGGUGAUCGAUGAUGAAGGGAAGGAACUGAUAUACCAAGCGGAUAUAAUAAAGCAGGCUAAAAGGGUCCUCAUCUCCACUCUGCAAGCGAUGAAGUUGUUGGAAAAUGGGUGUCAGGGGUACCUAACAUCUAUGAUUGAUUUAUAUGUAGAGGUCACACCUCUAGAGGAAGUGGAGGCAGUUAAGGAGUUUCCAUAUGUCUUUCCAGAUGAUCUAACUCAACUACCAUCUGACAGGGAGCUGGAAUUUGCUGUAGAUUUGAUUCCUGGAGCUGCCCCAUUGUCCAAGGCUCCAUACAGAAUGGAACCAACAGAAUUAAAGGAAUUGUAAAUACAGUUGCAAGAUCUAUUGAAGAAGGGAUUCAUAUACCCAAGUGUAUUACCUUGGGGUGCUCCAGUGUUGUUUAUUAAGAAAAAAAAGAUGGGAGCUUACGUAUAUGCAUUGAUUACUGAGAAUUGAACAAGUUAACCAUCAAGAAUCGGUAUCCAUUGCCACGCAUAGAUGAUCUGUUUGAUCAGCUACAGGGUGCUAAGGUAUUUUCAAAGAUUGACCUCAGAUUCGGGUAUUAUCAGCUUAUGAUAAAGAAUAGUGAUAUACCAAAGAUAGCCUUUAGAACUCGGUACGGUCAUUAUGAGUUCUUAGUAUUGUCUUUUGGGUUGACCAAUGCACCAACAACUUUCAUGGAUUUGAUGAACCGAGUGUUUCAAGAUGUUCUCGAUAAGUGGGUCAUUGUUUUCAUUGAUGAUAUCUUAAUCUACUCGAAGUCAGAAGAAGACCAUGCAAAACACUUGAGGAUGGUACUACAAAGACUAAGAGAGCAAUAGUUGUAUGAGAAAUUCAGCAAGUGUGAAUUUUAUCUCAAAUAGGUUGUAUUCCUAAGACACGUGGUGUCUGAAAAUGGAAUAGAAAUGAAUCCGGAUAAGGUGAAAGCCGUAGUAGACUGGGAGAUACCCAAGAGUGUAAUAGAAAUUAGAAGUUUAUUGGGUUUGGCAGGUUACUAUAGAUGCUACAUCGAGAACUUUUCUCAGAUUUCAACGCCAAUGACUAAGUUGACUAGGAAGGGUAUAAAGUUUGAUUGGUCAAAGGAGUGUGAAGAUAGUUUUCAAGAGCUGAAGAAGUGGGUAGUGUCAGCACCAAUGCUGCCUAUUCUUGAAGGCAUAGGUGGGAUGACAGUCUAUACUAAUGCUUCCAAAAUUAGAUUAGGUUGUGUACUUAUGCAACGUGGCAAGAUAAUAGCAUAUGCAUCUAGACAGUUGAAGGACUAUGAGAAUAACUACCCUACACAUGACUUGGAGCUAGCAGCGGUCAUUUUUGCCUUAAAGAUUUGGUGUCACUACUUGUAUGGGGAAAGGUGUGAGAUAUUCAGUGACCACAAAAGUCUAAAGUACUUUUUCACUCAAAAAGACUUGAAUAUGAGACAAAGGAGAUGGCUUAAGCUUAUGAAAGACUAUGAUUGUGAUAUUCAGUAUCACCCAGGGAAGGCUAAUGUAGUGGCAAAUGCAUUAAGCCAGAAAGCUCAACUGUAUCACUUGCCUAUCUAGCUGUUAGUCCAGAGCUCGUACAAGAGGCGAUGUUAAUGGAUGAAAUCCCAUUGUAUAAAGGAGCGACCUUGGAACUAGAGCACUAGUUAGAUGAUGUCCUACAGUUGACCAUGUCCUUGGCAGCUCUACAGGUACACUCUUCCAUCAGGGAAGAAAUCAUAAUGAAACAGCCUUUGGAUCCUGAGUUAAAACAAAUGAAAGAGGAGAUUCAAGAGCAAACAAUGAAUGACACUAGCUUUACAUUAGCCAAUGAUGGGCACUAUUGUUUUGGGGCAGAUUGUGUGUGCCCUGUGAUGAGGUGAUAUAAGACAAAAUAGUAAAAGAAGCACACAGUUCUAAGUACUCUCUUCACCCUGAAAGUACCAAGAUGUACAAAGACCUAAAGCAACACUACUGAUGGCCAGCAAUGAAGUCCACAAUAGUUUUGUAUGUGUCGAAUUGCCUUGCAUGUCAGAAAAUCAAAGCUAAACGACACCGACCUUUUGGCACUCUUCAACCACUCCCAAUACCCAAGUAGAAGUGGGAU